AGUGAGCACCAGAGGAGUCAGAACUAGGUGAAGUGAGAAAUCACAGGCUUGCUUUUCUCUCUGCUGCGGGGCUGGCUAAUAUAUCCAGGCUCCCAAAUGAUGGGCUGACCUUUCCACCUCGGCCAGGACUGCAGCGUCACUCACAGCGUGCACUGAAAGCUCAUCUCCUCGUUAAACACUUCACAUCGCUCUGCACUCCGCCUUCCUCCUCCACUUGCAUCUGAUUUGGAUCAUGCUUUAGAGGAAAAGGUCAAAAUUCGAUAUUUUUGCUCAUCAUAUCUGCUGGAUUUAUUGCCUGCGCGUUGUUUUGAAGCACCGUGCAAACGCUGUCAUUCCUCAUUAGUCAUGUAAGACGUACAGGAAUUUAAUUUUACUCUCGCAGGACUUUAUUCUUGAUAGCAGGAUUGUUGAAACGCGGUGUAAAUUAAUAUAUAGUUUCUGGCUCAGUGUACAUAUGUUUCGUUAAUUUCCUUUCUUUGAGAAGACGUGUCAAAACCUAAAAAGAGGUGCUUCAAGAACAUAAAAUUGAAAAUGUGUGCAUUGUCUGCUGAUGAGUGAUGAGUGUGGAUCGAAUGUUGAACCCAGGUGGUUCAUCUGUGAAGAUGUUGUCAAUGCUCUGCUUUUGUGUGUGAAGGGUAAUUGUUUUAAUUAGUGUUUGUGUGAAAUAGUGCAGACAAAAGCAUUACCGUUAUUUCAGCCCUGAGAGUGUGAAAGCUAUCUUUGUUUUUGUUUUGUUUGUUUUUGGAACUCCACACUCAUCUGAGUUAAUUCGACAUUUUAUGAUCCCUCUGAUAAGCUUUGAGUAAACAACUUUGGUGAAUAACUGACUGAGCGCCACACAUCAGCGAGGAAUCUGUAUUUAAAACCGAGGAGUGUAAAUAUUUCUUUUUUAGAGCAGUAUUAGGUGUAUAGAAGUGAGGAUCUUUUUUUUGUGUUGCUGUGC